AUUGAACGCUGGCGGCAUGCUUUACACAUGCAAGUCGAACGGCAGCGGGGUAGUGCUUGCACUACUGCCGGCGAGUGGCGAACGGGUGAGUAAUAUAUCGGAACGUACCGAGUAAUGGGGGAUAACCAAUCGAAAGAUUGGCUAAUACCGCAUACGUCCUGAGGGAGAAAGCGGGGGAUCGCAAGACCUCGCGUUAUUCGAGCGGCCGAUAACGGAUUAGCUAGUUGGUGGGGUAAAGGCCUACCAAGGCGACGAUCAGUAGCGGGUCUGAGAGGACGAUCCGCCACACUGGGACUGAGACACGGCCCAGACUCCUACGGGAGGCAGCAGUGGGGAAUUUUGGACAAUGGGGGCAACCCCGAUCCAGCCAUGCCGCGUGUAUGAAGAAGGCCUUCGGGUUGUAAAGUACUUUUGUUAGGGAAGAAAAGGGAAGUGCUAAUACCACUUUUUGCUGACGGUACCUAAAGAAUAAGCACCGGCUAACUACGUG
rnacentral:rRNA from 1 species